UCGAGAGGCUUCCACAAUGGGGGAAACCCUGAUGGAGCGACGCCGCGUGGGUGAUGAAGGUCUUCGGAUCGUAAAGCCCUUUCAGCAGGGAAGAAGAGAUUGGCGACUAAUAAUCGCUGAAAUCAGACGGUACCUGAAGAAGAAGCUCCGGCUAACUCCGUGCCAGCAGCCGCGGUAAGACGGAGGGAGCAAGCGUUGUUCGGAUUUACUGGGCGUAAAGGGCGUCUAGGCGGGCUGAUAAGUCAGAUGUGAAAUACCUCGGCUCAACCGGGGAACUGCAUUUGAUACUGUCGGUCUUGAGUACGGAAGAGGAAAGCGGAAUUCCUGGUGUAGCGGUGAAAUGCGUAGAUAUCAGGAAGAACACCGGUGGCGAAGGCGGCUUUCUGGUCCGUUACUGACGCUGAAGCGCGAAAGUGUGGGGAGCAAACAG
rnacentral:rRNA from 1 species